GCCGAGUUAGUGUAGUGGUCUCAUCACUCCGGAUUUUGAAGUAUUAUGAAAUUCCGGCAACCCCGGUUCGACUCCGGGACUUGGCU